UCGGGACGUCUUCCGAGGUGCUGCAUGGUUGUCGUCAGCUCGUGCCGUGAGGUGUCGGCUUAAGUGCCAUAACGAGCGCAACCCCCGCGUGCAGUUGCCAGCAGGAAAGGCUGGGGACUCUGCACGGACUGCCGGCGCAAGCCGCGAGGAAGGCGGGGAUGACGUCAAAUCAGCACGGCCCUUACGUCCGGGGCGACACACGUGUUACAAUGGGGGGUACAGCGGGAAGCCAGGCGGCGACGCCGAGCGGAACCCGAAAGCCCCUCUCAGUUCGGAUCGGAGUCUGCAACCCGACUCCGUGAAGCUGGAUUCGCUAGUAAUCGCGCAUCAGCCAUGGCGCGGUGAAUACGUUCCCGGGCCUUGUACACACCGCCCGUCAAGCCAUGGGAGCCGAGGGCGCUUGAAGUGCGUCGCCGGGAGGCGCGCCCUAGAGCGAAAUCGGUGACUGGGGCUAAGUCGUAACAAGGUAGCCGUACCGGAAGGUGCGGCGGGAUCACCUCCUU
rnacentral:rRNA from 1 species